GACGAACGCUGGCGGCGUGCCUAACACAUGCAAGUCGAACGAAGUGGCGAACGGGUGAGUAAUACGUGAGUAACCUGCCCUCCUUUUGGGGAUAAGCCUUGGGAACGGGGUCUAAUACCGACUACAGGGGGUUGGGCUGGCGGGCUAUCAGUGUGUGGGGGGGGUGAGGGCCUACCAAGGCGGUGACGGGUAGCCGGCCUGUGAGGUUGACCUGGCAACUAGGAACUGAGAUACGGUCCUGCCUCCUACAGGAGGCAGCAAUGGGGGAUAUUGCACGAAGGGCGAAAGCCGGAUUCCGCGACGCCGCGUGGGGGAUGAAGGCUUUCGAGUUGUAAUCCUCUUUCGCGAUCGAACCGGUAGGUGGAGAAGAAGCGCCGGCUAACUACGUGCCAGCAGCCGCGGUAAUAC
rnacentral:rRNA from 1 species